AUAAAAGAUACACAAAUGAUAGAGGUAAAGAGGUAAAAAUGCAUUAUAAAGGAAAAGUGUGUGUGAAAUUCAUGUCAUAAAUGCAAUAUCUGCAGUGGAUAUUGCAGUUAUCAUGUUGAGUUCAAAACUUUUUGUGUUCUAAGACUUUUGCAAACUCAAAGAGAGUUCACUGUU